rnacentral:rRNA from 1 species
GACGAACGCUUUCUUCUUUCUUAACACAUGCAAGUCGAACGGAAAGGCCCUGCUUUUGUGGGGUGCUCGAGUGGCGAACGGGUGAGUAACACGUGAGUAACCUGCCCUUGACUUUGGGAUAACUUCAGGAAACUGGGGCUAAUACCGGAUAGGAGCUCCUGCUGCAUGGUGGGGGUUGGAAAGUUUCGGCGGUUGGGGAUGGACUCGCGGCUUAUCAGCUUGUUGGUGGGGUAGUGGCUUACCAAGGCUUUGACGGGUAGCCGGCCUGAGAGGGUGACCGGCCACAUUGGGACUGAGAUACGGCCCAGACUCCUACGGGAGGCAGCAGUGGGGAAUAUUGCACAAUGGGCGGAAGCCUGAUGCAGCAACGCCGCGUGCGGGAUGACGGCCUUCGGGUUGUAAACCGCUUUCGCCUGUGACGAAGCGUGAGUGACGGUAAUGGGUAAAGAAGCACCGGCUAACUACGUG